AUGGAGAGCAAGCAUUUCAAGAGCGUGAUCAUGUGUGCACUCAUACUGAUACUGGGACUGCUUGUCCAGGGACAAAUCCAAGUAGCAGAGGGCAAGAGCUGCUGCAGAGACACCAGGUCAAGAAACUGUUACAACGUGUGCCUUCUUGUGCACCCCAGUACUCCCUGCUCAAAAAUGUGUGGCUGUGUGCUCACAAGGGACAGCACAUGCCCCAGGGAAUACCCUAAGCUCAACCUUCUCCCCGGUUCAGCUGAAGAACCAGACGCCAUUGAGUACUGCAAAUUAGGAUGUAGGCUCUCAGUCUGUGACAACGUCAAUUCAGCUGAGCUUGGCGAAGACACGAAAGUCGGCGUGGGGCGCUGCGGCGAUGCGUGCGGCCGGUUCUGCAACGAUGCCACCAACAUUGCAUCCGUCGAUGCUUGA
rnacentral:rRNA from 1 species